UCACAUAUUUUCAGCAUCAGACAUCACACCUCACAGGGACCUGCCAUUUAAGAUUAGAAAGUUAACAAUAUAGUAGGAUUAAAACUCAGGCAAGCCAGCAGAAAUCCCAUCAAUCUAGACUGUCCAGCUGAUUCCGUUAUUCCAAUCCGACGGUCGAAAAAUUGAUGAGCACGUAC